rnacentral:rRNA from 1 species
CCCUUAGAUGUCCUGGGCCGCACGCGCGUUACACUGAUGCAUUCAACGAGCUUAUAACCUUGGCCGAGAGGCCUGGGCAAUCUUGUUAACGUGCAUCGUGAUAGGGAUAGAUUAUUGAAAUUAUUAAUCUUGAACGAGGAAUUCCUAGUAAACGCAGAUCAUCAAUCUGCAUUGAUUACGUCCCUGCCCUUUGUACACACCGCCCGUCGCACCUACCGAUUGGAUGGUCCGGUGAAGCCUCGGGAUUGUGGUUCUUGCCGCUUUAUUGUGGCGUGACCGCGAGAGCUUGUCUAAACCUUAUCAUCUAGAGGAAGGUGAAGUCGUAACA